rnacentral:rRNA from 1 species
UACGAAGGGGGCUAGCGUUGUUCGGAUUUACUGGGCGUAAAGCGCACGUAGGCGGAUCGUUAAGUCGGGGGUGAAAUCCUGGAGCUCAACUCCAGAACUGCCUUCGAUACUGGCGAUCUUGAGUCCGGAAGAGGUGAGUGGAACUCCUAGUGUAGAGGUGAAAUUCGUAGAUAUUCGGAAGAACACCAGUGGCGAAGGCGACUCACUGGACACGUAUUGACGCUGAGGUGCGAAAGCGUGGGGAGCAAACAGG